GACGAACGCUGGCGGCGUGCCUAAUACAUGCAAGUUGAGCGCUGAAGGUUGGUACUUGUACCAACUGGAUGAGCAGCGAACGGGUGAGUAACGCGUGGGGAAUCUGCCUUUGAGCGGGGGACAACAUUUGGAAACGAAUGCUAAUACCGCAUAAAAACUUUAAACACAAGUUUUAAGUUUGAAAGAUGCAAUUGCAUCACUCAAAGAUGAUCCCGCGUUGUAUUAGCUAGUUGGUGAGGUAAAGGCUCACCAAGGCGAUGAUACAUAGCCGACCUGAGAGGGUGAACGGCCACAUUGGGACUGAGACACGGCCCAAACUCCUACGGGAGGCAGCAGUAGGGAAUCUUCGGCAAUGGACGAAAGUCUGACCGAGCAACGCCGCGUGAGUGAAGAAGGUUUUCGGAUCGUAAAACUCUGUUGGUAGAGAAGAACGUUGGUGAGAGUGGAAAGCUCAUCAAGUGACGGUAACUACCCAGAAAGGGACGGCUAACUACGUG
rnacentral:rRNA from 1 species